rnacentral:rRNA from 1 species
UACGGGAGGCAGCAGUGGGGAAUAUUGCACAAUGGGCGAAAGCCUGAUGCAGCUAUGCCGCGUGUAUGAAGAAGGCCUUAGGGUUGUAAAGUACUUUCAUCGGGGAGGAAAAACAAAACUAAUAAUUUUAUUUCUUGACGUUACCCGAAAAAGAAGCACCGGCUAACUCCGUGCCAGCAGCCGCGGUAAUACGGAGGGUGCUAGCGUUAAUCAGAAUUACUGGGCGUAAAGAGCACGUAGGUGGUUUUUUUAAGUCAGAUGUGAAAUCCCUGGGCUUAACCUAGGAACUGCAUUUUGAAACUGAAAUACUAGAGUAUCGUAGAGGGAGGUAGAAUUCUAGGUGUAGCGGUGAAAUGCGUAGAUAUCUGGAGGAAUACCUGUGGCGAAAGCGGCCUCUUAAACGAAUACUGACACUGAGGUGCGAAAGCGUGGGGAGCAAACAGGGAUUAGAUACC